UUUAUGGAGAGUUUGAUCCUGGCUCAGGAUGAACGCUGGCGGCGUGCCUAAUACAUGCAAGUCGAGCGAACGGACGAGAAGCUUGCUUCUCUGAUGUUAGCGGCGGACGGGUGAGUAACACGUGGAUAACCUACCUAUAAGACUGGGAUAACUUCGGGAAACCGGAGCUAAUACCGGAUAAUAUUUUGAACCGCAUGGUUCAAAAGUGAAAGACGGUCUUGCUGUCACUUAUAGAUGGAUCCGCGCUGCAUUAGCUAGUUGGUAAGGUA
rnacentral:rRNA from 1 species